AGCGAACGCUGGCGGCAGGCUUAACACAUGCAAGUCGAGCGGACCUUUCGGGGUCAGCGGCGGACGGGUGAGUAACGCGUGGGAACGUGCCUUCCGGUUCGGAAUAACCCUGGGAAACUAGGGCUAAUACCGGAUACGCCCUUAUGGGGAAAGGUUUACUGCCGGAAGAUCGGCCCGCGUCUGAUUAGCUAGUUGGUGGGGUAACGGCCUACCAAGGCGACGAUCAGUAGCUGGUCUGAGAGGAUGAUCAGCCACACUGGGACUGAGACACGGCCCAGACUCCUACGGGAGGAAGCAGUGGGGAAUAUUGGACAAUGGGCGCAAGCCUGAUCCAGCCAUGCCGCGUGAGUGAUGAAGGCCUUAGGGUUGUAAAGCUCUUUUAUCCGGGACGAUAAUGACGGUACCGGAGGAAUAAGCCCCGGCUAACUUCGUG
rnacentral:rRNA from 1 species